GAAGAAGUUUGGAAGGUGACUAAGGUAGGUUCGAAGAGAACGCCUAGUUAACCGGUCUUUCGCUCUGAAGUUCAGGGGGGGCAAAGAAAGGUCCCAAAGGGCGCUUCUGCCCUAGAUAAAGAAACAAUUGCCAAAGCAUGAGGCCAGAAAGAGGCUGAUGUUAUCAAGAGUUCUUGGCGAUCGGGAAGAGUCCAAACAGCAGCGAGAAGGCUAAAAGACCUGUUUGAUGAAGCAGGUCGAGUGGGAAGGUGUUUUGAGCCAAUAACUGAGUUACAGUUCGUUGCUUGAAAGGUAUUCUUUCGAUAAGGUCAGUGCCUUAAGAGUACAAGUUGGUUAAAGUAAUUAUUGCUUAAGUCUGAAGUGGUUCGAAGCAGUUAAGUCAAAAGUCGCGUUUGCAAAAUCACUAAGUUAAAU
rnacentral:lncRNA from 1 species